UUUUCCUAUUUCUAUUUGAAUCGUAAAAAAAAAUAAAAAAUAAAAAAUUAGGGUGCGUUUGGUUCGAAGUCGGAAUCGGAAUCGAAAUAAGCUGGAAUCGAAAUCGGAAUGACUCAUUACCUAAUUCUAUUUGGUUCGUUAUCUGAAUCGGAAUCGCAAUAAAUCAUUUCCAUCAUCGGUGUUUGGUUCAAAUAGAUAUAAAAAACGUAAUCAAAUUAAUAUACUAAUUUUAUCUUUAUAAUAUAUUAAUUUAAAUUCAAAUUGAAAAUUGAAUUUAUGAAUUUAAGUUUUAAAUAAAAUUUGAAUAAAACUUUAUAUAAAUUAAAAUUUAAUUUAAAUUCAAAUUCAUAAGUUAGAUUCGAAAUAUUUGAUUAAAUUUAAAUUUUUAUUUUAAAUUCAAAUUAAAAUUUAAAAUUAUAAAUUUAAUAUCUAAAUUUAAACUCAUAUUUUAAUUUAAAAAAGUUGAAAAAAUAAAUUUAAUCCGAAUAAAUAUUCAUUCCGUCCGGAUUCAACUUCCAAUCCGGCCUCCUAAGUCGGAUUAGAAAAAGAGAUAAUUGGAGGAUUGCCAUUCCACUCGGAAAUCGGAUUCGGAAUGAAACUCCCAUGUAUCAAACACCUACAAACGAAUUUGUCCAUUCCGAUUCUGAUUUUAGGAUGAAAAAGAAGCGAACCAAAUACGCACGAAAAUAAAGAGCUAACGUCUUAACA
rnacentral:lncRNA from 1 species